AUAUUAACUACCACUCCUAAACUGUAUUUCAAACAGAUAUAUCACAUAGUUAUUUCUAGGACGGAUAUUACAUUUUUAUAUGAGCCAUGUCAAAUAGAAAUCUAUCUUAUGCAAGUGCACAUAUACAUGUACUUGUUCACUACUUUGACUGAUUUUGGAAUAUACAAAUUCAACUAGAUGUGUCAAAGCGACACAAAUGGCCCCGUCUCAAAAAAAAAGAGAAAAAUCUGCAAUUUCA
rnacentral:lncRNA from 1 species